UUGAUGGCGACCGGCGCACGGGUGCGUAACGCGUAUGCAACCUACCUUUUACAGGGGCAUAACACUGAGAAAUUGGUACUAAUUCCCCAUAAUAUCUGAGGCGGCAUCGUUUUGGGUUGAAAACUCCGGUGGUAAAAGAUGGGCAUGCGUUGUAUUAGCUAGUUGGUGAGGUAACGGCUCACCAAGGUGACGAUACAUAGGGGGACUGAGAGGUUAACCCCCCCACAUUGGUACUGAGACACGGACCAAACUCCUACGGAAGGCAGCAG
rnacentral:rRNA from 1 species